AGUCGAGCGGAUGAGUGGAGCUUGCUCCAUGAUUCAGCGGCGGACGGGUGAGUAAUGCCUAGGAAUCUGCCUGGUAGUGGGGGACAACGUUUCGAAAGGAACGCUAAUACCGCAUACGUCCUACGGGAGAAAGUGGGGGAUCUUCGGACCUCACGCUAUCAGAUGAGCCUAGGUCGGAUUAGCUAGUUGGUGAGGUAAAGGCUCACCAAGGCGACGAUCCGUAACUGGUCUGAGAGGAUGAUCAGUCACACUGGAACUGAGACACGGUCCAGACUCCUACGGGAGGCAGCAGUGGGGAAUAAUUGGACAAUGGGCGAAAGCCUGAUCCAGCCAUGCCGCGUGUGUGAAGAAGGUCUUCGGAUUGUAAAGCACUUUAAGUUGGGAGGAAGGGCAGUAAGUUAAUACCUUGCUGUUUUGACGUUACCAACAGAAUAAGCACCGGCUAACUUCGUGCCAGCAGCCGCGGUAAUACGAAGGGUGCAAGCGUUAAUCGGAAUUACUGGGCGUAAAGCGCGCGUAGGUGGUUCGUUAAGUUGGAUGUGAAAGCCCCGGGCUCAACCUGGGAACUGCAUCCAAAACUGGCGAGCUAGAGUAUGGCAGAGGGUGGUGGAAUUUCCUGUGUAGCGGUGAAAUGCGUAGAUAUA
rnacentral:rRNA from 1 species